rnacentral:rRNA from 1 species
UACGGGGGGGGCAAGCGUUGUUCGGAAUUACUGGGCGUAAAGGGCUCGUAGGUGGCCAACUAAGUCAGACGUGAAAUCCCUCGGCUUAACCGGGGAACUGCGUCUGAUACUGGAUGGCUUGAGUUCGGGAGAGGGAUGCGGAAUUCCAGGUGUAGCGGUGAAAUGCGUAGAUAUCUGGAGGAACACCGAUGGCGAAGGCAGCCCCCUGGGCUAACACUGACGCUCAUGCACGAAAGCGUGGGGAGCAAACAGG